rnacentral:lncRNA from 1 species
AAAAAAUAAUAUGAUGACAAAAUUAUAUGUUCCUACUCUCAGAAAAUAUUUUAUUAACAGCCUUGCAACGCUAAAAGCUUCUAAAACCCUGACAGCAAUUCAGAUCUCAGAUCAUUAUUUUGGCUGGACCAGCUGGAUUAGCAUCUUUCCUCACAGGAUCUCCUGGAAAAACCACAACAGAAGUAAUUAAAGGUAAGAAAUCAUGACAUGGCAUACAAUCCAUUGUGCAUCGAAAAUGUGGAUUCACCAAUUCACCUGAUUGGUAUAAUAAAAUAUCUAACUUGGAUAACCAACAUCAAACCUUUACUACUGCUUUACAAGAUGGCCAUGUAAAAGAAAUUUACACGGUAGUUGUUGUAAAUUUGGACCCUUUGUCAAAACUAACCAGGACAAAGAUGAGGAGCAAAUAACAAUGGCAACUACACAAACAAUGCAAGCAAGAACAUUCAGAUCUAGAUCUAAUCCAGCAACCUAUGUGUAUAACAAAUCCACAAUCAAAGCAAAGAACAAAGAUAAUGAGAGAGAGCCAAUAUUUGGUUACACGUUUCGGCCCAAAAAUUGAAUUACAUCUGGAGGAGAGAGCAGCUCUCGAAUCCACUAUCAAUGAGUUUCUUACAAAGAGAUACAAAAGAGUUGCAAUAAAUUAACUUCAACAGUUCUCAAAGAACAAACCUAAUUUAUACCCAUGAACAACAGCUUCAAAGAUUUUUCGCUCUCCAAGGUGUUUACAAUGUGUUUUCCAACCCUAGAAUCUCACCCAAAGUUCUCAAAUUUUACCCUAAAAGUGUCCUCUUUUGGUCUCCCAAGAUUGCACAACAAAUGAGAAGAAAACAGCUUGAAUAAGGUUCAGGAUCCGAUGCAUCCGCCUCGCGGCCAGGCCUACCCACCUUGUGGGUGAGGCAGUAGCGAAACAUCUGAAAUCUCCAACAUCCCCCCGCUUUGCAGCCCCUGCUGGGUGCCUUGCGGAUGGGACAAUAGCUAACCAAAAAACAAGUUUUCAAACUUCCCUUUGAUGAGGUUUUAAGGCAUGACCACAACAGCAGUAAUACUCAAUGUGUCUAAUGCUGCAACUGCCGGUGCAAUGAGUGAAGAUGUGUGUAAUUGUUAUCGUUUAGCUUUUCUGUGUGGGAGUAAUAUUGAUCACUUCAAGAGUUUAGAAGAGGUUUCUCUUACGGUGUUGAAAGAUAUUGUAUAUAAUUGUUGUCUGUUUUGUUUUUUCUCAUUUUUCUCUUUUUUCUUUUUACUAGUUUGCAAAGAUGCCUGUCUCAAAGUAUCUUGUCAUUCUCUUUCUAAAAGUUACAUUUAACAUUUCG